AUCCUGGCUCAGGACGAACGCUGGCGGCGUGCUUAACACAUGCAAGUCGAACGGAAAGGCCUCUUCGGAGGUACUCGAGUGGCGAACGGGUGAGUAACACGUGGGCAAUCUGCCCUGCACUUCGGGAUAAGCCUGGGAAACUGGGUCUAAUACCGGAUAGGACCUCAAGACGCAUGUCUUCUGGUGGAAAGCUUUUGCGGUGUGGGAUGGGCCCGCGGCCUAUCAGCUUGUUGGUGGGGUGACGGCCUACCAAGGCGACGACGGGUAGCCGGCCUGAGAGGGUGUCCGGCCACACUGGGACUGAGAUACGGCCCAGACUCCUACGGGAGGCAGCAGUGGGGAAUAUUGCACAAUGGGCGCAAGCCUGAUGCAGCGACGCCGCGUGGGGGAUGACGGCCUUCGGGUUGUAAACCUCUUUCACCAUCGACGAAGGUCCGGGUUUUCUCGGAUUGACGGUAGGUGGAGAAGAAGCACCGGCCAACUACGUGCCAGCAGCCGCGGUAAUACGUAGGGUGCGAGCGUUGUCCGGAAUUACUGGGCGUAAAGAGCUCGUAGGUGGUUUGUCGCGUUGUUCGUGAAAUCUCACGGCUUAACUGUGAGCGUGCGGGCGAUACGGGCAGACUAGAGUACUGCAGGGGAGACUGGAAUUCCUGGUGUAGCGGUGGAAUGCGCAGAUAUCAGGAGGAACACCGGUGGCGAAGGCGGGUCUCUGGGCAGUAACUGACGCUGAGGAGCGAAAGCGUGGGGAGCGAACAGGAUUAGAUACCCUGGUAGUCCACGCCGUAAACGGUGGGUACUAGGUGUGGGUUUCCUUCCUUGGGAUCCGUGCCGUAGCUAACGCAUUAAGUACCCCGCCUGGGGAGUACGGCCGCAAGGCUAAAACUCAAAGGAAUUGACGGGGGCCCGCACAAGCGGCGGAGCAUGUGGAUUAAUUCGAUGCAACGCGAAGAACCUUACCUGGGUUUGACAUGCACAGGACGCGUCUAGAGAUAGGCGUUCCCUUGUGG
rnacentral:rRNA from 1 species